rnacentral:rRNA from 1 species
CCUACGGGUGGCAGCAGUCGAGAAUCAUUCACAAUGGGGGAAACCCUGAUGCUGCGACGCCGCGUGGGGGAAUGAAGGUCUUCGGUUUGUAAAUCCUUGUCACGUGGGAGCAAAUUAAAAAGAUAGUACCACAAGAGGAAGAGACGGCUAACUAUGUGCCAGCAGCCGCGGUAAUACAGAGGUCUCAAGCGUUGUUCGGAAUCACUGGGCGUAAAGCGUGCGUAGGCUGUUUCGUAAGUCGUGUGUGAAAGGCGCGGGCUCAACCCGCGGACGGCACAUGAUACUGGGAGCCUAGAGUAAUGGAGGGGGAAGCGGAAUUCUCGGUGUAGCAGUGAAAUGCGUAGAUAUCGAGAGGAACACUCGUGGCGAAGGCGGGUUCCUGGACAUUAACUGACGCUGAGGCACGAAGGCCAGGGGAGCGAAAGGGAUUAGAUACCCCAGUAGUC